rnacentral:tRNA from 1 species
UAGCCUAGUGGAUAAGGCUGUGGAUCGCCAAUCCGGAGACGGCGGGUUCGAUUCCCGU